rnacentral:lncRNA from 1 species
ACCUGUAACUUCGUAAGCAAUCAAUUUGAAUUUCCCUCCUAUGGCGGUGCUGCCAUCUGUAGACGGAUGGGAGAAGUAUGGAGUGAACAUGUGCAGCAGUCAGUGAUUUUGGAUUUCCAUGUGGUUUUUGAAGGAUUAUACCAGUUUCAUUACAUUGUCAGCACCCGGAGAAGGCCAGAAACUUUGGACCGUUUCAUAUAAUAAAGCACCAGGAAGAAAA